CUACGGGUUGCUGCAGUGGGGAAUAUUGGACAAUGGGCGCAAGCCUGAUCCAGCAAUGCCGCGUGAGUGAAGACGGCCUUAGGGUCGUAAAACUCUUUCGCUAGGGAAGAUAAUGACUGUACCUAGUAAAGAAGUCCCGGCUAACUCCGUGCCAGCAGCCGCGGUAAUACGGAGGGGACUAGCGUUGUUCGGAAUUACUGGGCGUAAAGAGUUCGUAGGCGGACUGACAAGUUAGAGGUGAAAUCCCAGGGCCCAACCCUGGAACUGCCUUUAAAACUGUCAGUCUAGAGACCGGAAGAGGUUAGGGGAAUACCUAGUGUAGAGGUGAAAUUCGUAGAUAUUAGGUGGAACACCAGUGGCGAAGGCGCCUAACUGGUCCGGUACUGACGCUGAGGAACGAAAGCGUGGGGAGCAAACAGGAUUAGAUACCCCAGUAGUC
rnacentral:rRNA from 1 species